CACGUAGGGUGCGAGCGUUGUCCGGAAUUAUUGGGCGUAAAGAGCUCGUAGGCGGUUUGUCGCGUCUGCUGUGAAAACUGGGGGCUCAACCCCCAGCCUGCAGUGGGUACGGGCAGACUAGAGUGCGGUAGGGGAGAUUGGAAUUCCUGGUGUAGCGGUGGAAUGCGCAGAUAUCAGGAGGAACACCGAUGGCGAAGGCAGAUCUCUGGGCCGUAACUGACGCUGAGGAGCGAAAGCAUGGGGAGCGAACAGG
rnacentral:rRNA from 1 species